UACGAGAGGCCCAAACGUUAUUCGGAAUUACUGGGCUUAAAGAGUUCGUAGGCGGCAUUGCAAGUAGGGUGUGAAAGCCCUCGGCUCAACCGAGGAAUUGCGCUCUACACUGCAGUGCUCGAGGAAGCUAGAGGUGAGCAGAACAGAUGGUGGAGCGGUGAAAUGCAUUGAUAUCAUCUGGAAUACCGGAGGCGAAGGCGGCUCA
rnacentral:rRNA from 1 species